GGGGACGUGGUGUACGGCGCACCGCUGCAUUAGUUAUCCAGGUGCUCUCGCUAGGUUAUGCAGUAGGCCGGGGUUCGACUCCCCGCGUCCCCA